rnacentral:rRNA from 1 species
UACGUAGGGUGCAAGCGUUGUCCGGAAUUAUUGGGCGUAAAGAGCUCGUAGGCGGUCUGUCACGCCGGCUGUGAAAUCCCGAGGCUCAACCUCGGGUCUGCAGUCGAUACGGGCAAACUAGAGUAUUGCAGGGGAGACUGGAAUUCCUGGUGUAGCGGUGAAAUGCGCAGAUAUCAGGAGGAACACCGGUGGCGAAGGCGGGUCUCUGGGCAAUAACUGACGCUGAGGAGCGAAAGCGUGGGGAGCGAACAGG